rnacentral:pre_miRNA from 1 species
AUAAUAUUAGGACCGUCGGUCUACCGAACAAUAUCACCGGCUCGGUGGAAGAUCUUCUCUUCGUCAU